AUAGUACCCUCCGUCUGAAAAUACUCGUCGAAAAAAUGGAUGUAUCUAAAUAUAUUUUAGUUCUAGAUACAUUCAUUUUUAUUUAUUUCUUCUGAUAAGUAUUUGCGGACGGAGGAAGUAUAUU
rfam:Triticum urartu cultivar G1812 contig315832, whole genome shotgun sequence.